AAUAGAUACCCGGGUAGUCCACGCUGUAAACGAUGAUGAUUAGGUGCUAGGGAGUAUCGACCCUUCUUAGUACCAUAGCUAACGCGUUAAAUCAUCCGCCUGGGGAGUACGGCCGCAAGGCUAAAACUCAAAGGAAUUGACGGGGACCUGCGACAAGCGGUGGAGCAUGUGGUUUAAUUCGACGGUAAGCGAGGAACCUUACCAAGGCUUGACAUGUAGCUGCAUCCUUCAGAAAUGAAGGCGCCUUCGAGGGUGCUACACAGGUGCUGCACGGUUGUCGUCAGCUCGUGCCGUGAGGUGUUCACUUAAGUGUGAAAACGAGCGCAACCCCUACGGUGAGUUACAAGUGUCUCACAGAACUGCCCGCGUUUAAGCGGGAGAAGGUGGGACGACGUCAAGUCAGUCAUGGCCCUUACGCCUAGGGCUGCACACGUGCUACAAUGGCCGGUACAAUGGGCUGCCACUUCGUGAGAAGGAGCGAAUCCCGAUAAAGCCGGUCUCAGUUCGGAUCGGAGUCUGCAACUCGACUUCGU
rnacentral:rRNA from 1 species